rnacentral:rRNA from 1 species
UAAUACGGAGGAUGCAAGCGUUAUCCGGAUUUAUUGGGUUUAAAGGGUGCGCAGGCGGCUUGUUAAGCGGGAGGUGAAAUGCCGGCGCUCAACGUCGGAAGUGCCUCCCGAACUGGUGAGCUUGAAUGACUCUGCCGUGGGAGGAAUGUGUAGUGUAGCGGUGAAAUGCUUAGAGAUUACACAGAACACCGAUUGCGAAGGCAUCUCACGAAGGGUUGAUUGACGCUGAGGCACGAAAGCGUGGGGAUCAAACAGGAUUAGAUACCCUGGUAGUCCACGCAGUAAACGAUGAUGGCUAACCGCUGGGUAAUACUAUUCAGUGGCCAAGCGAAAGCGAUAAGCCAUCCACCUGGGGAGUACGACCGCAAGGUUGAAACUCAAAGGAAUUGACGGGGGCCCGCACAAGCGGAGGAACAUGUGGUUUAAUUCGAUGAUACGCGAGGAACCUUACCCGGGCUCGAACGGCAGAGGAACAAUCCAGAGAUGGUGCGGCCUUCGGGGCUUCUGUCGAGGUGCUGCAUGGUUGUCGUCAGCUCGUGCCGUGAGGUGUCGGCUCAAGUGCCAUAACGAGCGCAACCCUUGCCGUCAGUUACCAUCAAGUAGUGUUGGG